CGGAGCGGCCCGCAGGUGCCCUCGACGGCAGCCGGAAGCUUAAGGCGGCCGCGGGCCCGCCCCGGAACCGCGUCCCGAACCCCCGGGCCGCCGGACCGGACCUUCGUCCUCGAAAGCCGGUGAAAGACCCUUGCGGCGGAGGACAGCCGCUGGCUGACUGAAACCCUUCAGUUCUGGGGCAGGUGUUUGGCACAGCGGUGAGGACGCCUCUGGGGACGUUGGUGCCUGUGCCGCUGCUGAUCCGGUAGGCAGCAGCGAUGGCCCUGCCUCCGCCCGGCUGGCCUGGAUCAGCGCCCGGCUCCCAGCUUGGCAGGACCCAGCCCCAGCUGUCGCAGGCCUUUGGGGAGUGAGCUAGCAGGAAGCAUAUCCACAGUGUUGUGGGACAUGGGCUGCUUCAGGAAGUCCGAGAUCCACUGUGUAUCACCUGGGAUCCAUGGGCCUGUAUUUACCAGGGACACGCUCUUGCUAGGCUAAAGAUCGGACAGUGAAUUUUCUCAAGACCCAGGACAUCAGGAAACGCCUGGCCACAGCAGAGAGCUGGAUUGGAAGAGGAGCAGCUGGGACUAGAACUGGCGCCCCUAUGGGAUGCCAACGCCGCAAGUGGAGGAUUAGCCUACUACGCCACGGCGCCGGCUGAAUUCUGGAUUUCUUAUGUAUUAACCACAGGUGACACUUCUUCAUGCUGGUCACCUGUGUCCGUAAACCUAACAGCUCUGAAGGACUGAGGUACUGAAGUUGCAUCCUAACUUAAGAAGAAAAAGAAAAUAAUUUAAACAAGCAGAGGCAUUCCAUCAGCCAUUCCACUCCGCAGAAUGUGCUAGGAAGGGACCCAGAGAAAUACCCGUCUUCCUCAUGCAAACCAAGCCCAGGGCAGGCAGCUGGCCUCGCAGUGGAGACACCUGUGACCGCCCGGGAGGCCGGGGAGAUGACUCCGCAGCUGGGUUCCUGCCACUUACAGAAGCACCCCUGGACUGAGUUCCUGACUCCUGGCCUUGGCCCCUGCUUCCCCAGCCGUUGUAGGCAUUUGGGGAGUGAACCAGUAUACAGCGGUACACAAACAGGCUCGCUCGCUCUCCCUCAGACUCUCAAAACAAAUCGUAAACUGGUUCCUGUCCUCCGCUUAUAAAACUACAGGUGAUCCAGAUGUUACCACAGACUCAUUGCCGUGAUUUCCAAGGCACUACCUGACCUCACUGCCGCCUCCCACUCUGUUCAGAGGUCAGCGCUUCUCAAACUGCACUGGGUCUGUCCUCGUAGCAGUCCACAGUCACCCACUCAGGGAGAGACUGCAUUUGCUCUUCCCUUUGCCUGCAGUGUCACCACCUGAGAGGCUCGGACCCUGUUAUUCCACUGUGUGGGGGUCUUCAUAAUGCCUAGCACCUGAAAAUAUGUUUAGUGUUGGCCUCUAUCCCAGUCCUCUUAACUGGACUGGGAUGGGGGCUUCCCAAGCUUCACACGCUCACGCGGGUGUCUUCUCCAGAGCCCAGAGGAGCACUUGGUAUUCGGCAGACACUCAGUACACAGACUGACAGACUGACAAGGUCUACAUCCUGAUUCUGCACUCAGCCUAGGAAGGUCAAACCCCACCAUCUGUCACAGGCGUAACUGUUGGAUGGUGCCAGCAUUUCUACAGCAGGGUAAGGAACAAGAAUGGUUCAGACUGGGAACAGCGGAGCUUCUCAGUGACAUCAUGAAAAGUCAGACUUGCCUCUUCCCACGGACACAUCUCUAAUCUUUUGAGGACUUCUCUCGUGUGGAGCUCUAGGAUGUCCAGGUUCGAAGGCGCUCGGACAUUAUGAUCUCGAAGUUUCCUUAUCCUUCGUCGGGGAUGGCAGAGUGGAGAGUGAGAGAGAGAGAGAGAGAAAGGUCUUCCUUUGCCGUUGGUUCACCCUCCAAUGGCUGCCACAACUGGCGCACCGUGCUGAUCCGAAGGCAGGAGCCACGUGCUUAUCCUGGUCUCCCAUGGGGUGCAGGGCCCAAGCACUUGGGCCAUCCUCCACUGCACUCCCGGGCCACAGCAGAGAGCUGGCCUGGAAGAGGGGCAAUCGGGACAGAAUCCAGCGCCUCUAAUGGGACUAGAAUCUGGUGUGCCGGCGCCGCUAGGCAGUGGAUUAGCCUAUUGAGCCACGGCGCUGGCCUGCUCUACUUCCUAUUUGUUUUAUUUUCUAUGUAUUUAUCACUAAUUGACUUCCAAAUUCUCCACCACAAGAAUGCAAAUAUUACUUUAGGUAAUCUAUUUUAUAUUUUUCUUUAAAGACAUCCAUUCUGGACAGAAUUGCCAAAGUACAAGACAUCCAGUUAAACUUGAAUUUCAGAUCAACAAGAAGUAUGGAACCUUCCCUUGUCCUGGGCCAUCCUAGACUGGCUGCUGUCCAGGCCAAUUCAGUUGUUUUUCCAGGUGUAUUUUACCACUUUAAUGUGUUGUAUUCUUUUGGCGCCAACAUGUUUUCAGAAAUGACACUCCUAUUUAUUCAACUACUGUUGUCUUUCCCUCAGUAAAGAUUUACAAUGUUUGUCAUAUAGACACAGCUUUCUGGCUGAGUU